GUCUACAGCUAUACCACCCUGAACGUGACUGAUCUCGGAAGUUAAGCAGGGUUGGUCCUGGUUAGUGCUUGGAUGGGAGACCAACUGGAUCUUCUAAUAGUGGAAU
rnacentral:rRNA from 1 species